UUAAAUGGCCGCAGUAUUUUGACUGUGCAAAGGUAGCAUAAUCAAUAGUUUCUUAAUUAGAAGCUGGAAUGAAAGGUUGAACGAGAAAAUAGCUGUCUCUUAUUGAAUUUGUUAGAAAUUUAUUUUUAAGUUAAAAAGCUUAAAUAAUUUUAAAAGACGAGAAGACCCUAUAGAGUUUUAUAAAAUUAAUUAUAAGAAAAUUUAUUGUAAUAUUAGUAGAUUUUAAUAAGUAUUUUUAUUUAGUUGGGGUGAUUAAAAAAUUUAUUGAACUUUUUGGUUUGUUAAACAUUUAUUUAUGUUAUGUUGAUCCAUUUAAUAAUGAUUAAAAGAUUAAAUUACCUUAGGGAUAACAGCGUAAUUUUUUUUUAGAGCUCUAAUCGAUAAAAAAGUUUGCGACCUCGAUGUUGGAUUAAAAUUUAAUUUUGGUGUAGAAGCUAAAAGUUUAGGUCUGUUCGACCUGUAAAAUUUUACAUGAUCUGAGUUUAGACCGGUGUAAGCCAGGUCGGUUUCUAUCUUUAAAUAAAUAGAGUACUUUAGUACGAAAGGACCAAGUAUUUAGAAGAUUUUUUUUUAUAUUGAAUUUUAUUAAU
rnacentral:rRNA from 1 species